CCAAUCAUUUGGAUAAUUUUUUUGUUGUAUAAUAACUUGAUUAGGGUCAGGGUUCGAAUUUGAUCAUCAACAAAUUUGGCCAAAACAAUCUGGGGCAAGGUUUUCAUGCUUUGGUGAUUCAUACUUGGUUUGCGAUGGCGACCAAUUCUGGCACCAAAUACGUCUCAAUGAAUCUAAACAAGUCCAAUGGUCAGCAUUCCACCUCCCUUGAAUUCGUCCGACCGUAGCGCCUAGGAGCCGUGGUGGUUCCGUCACGGCCACGCAGUUCACACAAGAUUUGGGUGAUCAAAGUUCAAAUUUGAAAAGACUUUCAUGAGAUAAAUCGCCUGAGUCUGAGAUAAAUUAAGCCACAGCCCUUUAACUCCAAACAUGUUACAUGGAAGAGAGCUUGCCAAAGACUAUCUGGGGAGUACACAUCUGAAGAAACAACAAGCAUAACUAGGCACAUUGUAAGUCCCUAUAUUAAAACCAUAUGAUCUCCCAUAUGUGAUUAACCUCAAAACGCUUCUCUCAUUAUUGAU